AAUUAUGCAAGUUUUUCUCAUUAGAUUAUUGUAAGAUUGUCGUUGCUGUCGGGAGAUUGACUACACCUUUUAAAAUAAAAACAAGUCUCUGCGGUUUGUUUUUCCAGGUGGAUUUUGGUUGCAACCCAGAGCAUUUCCCAAUAACGUAGUGUCUCCGCACUUCAGCCAGUUUGAAACAGUGACGGGUACAAAUAACAUAAAGGGUUCAGAGGCUGCACCAACGUUCACAUGUGCCUCUGAGAACCGAUCGUCUUCGAUUAUUAGCACCGGACCGUUUGCACGGCCCAGUUUCGGGAGAGGCAGAGAUGGGAAGGACACGUAAAUCUGAAAGCGAUCCCUGGCCUCGCCCCGUGGGUUAGGAUCCGGCAUUGCCACAAGCCGCCGCGUAGGUGGCAGGCUUUGCUUCCCAAUGACGUCAGCAAAUCCAGCCUGGUGGGGCGGGAAGGUCGAGGCGCCGAGGGCCUGUCCUGCUUGGGAGAGAGGUGAUGGUCAACUAAGGCUGCUCGGGCAAUGCACGGCAAUGCCCGGCUGAGCCGGCCUCCCUGGGCGACGGCCCGGGGCUGGAGCUUUGGGUGGGAGGCCCUGGGAAGCAAGCAGGGCGGGGCCGUGUCACAGGCACGGAGGGGGGCAUCCUGCCUGAGGACCGGGCAUCUCCCAAGCCGCUGAAACAUGUUUAUCAACACGGUAGAGAAGCAAAGCGGGGACAGCGACUUCCUACCCACUGGAGGAAAAAGGCUACCACAGGCUGGAUGCCGGAAAUCAGAAGGGGACGGAGGAGGUAGAUUCAGACCCCAAGUUGCAACGAGACAUGAGAUCCUGAAUCAUUCAAAGCAGACCAAGAACUCAAAAAGUUGGAGCUGCCUGUGAGCCAAGGCAGCUGCCCACAGNAGGGAAUGAACCUGCAACCUCAUGGUUCCUAGUCGGAUUCUUAAACCACUGCGCCACGACGGGAACUCCCUGGUAAAUUUCUUUUUUUUUUUUUUUCUCUUUCCAAUUAAACCCCUGGUAAAUUUCUGAUACGUGUUGCAAACUGCUUUUCAGGCUACCACAGGCUGGAUGCCGGAAAUCAGAAGGGGACAGAGGAGGUAGAUUCAGACCCCAAGUUGCAACGAGACAUGAGAUCCUGAAUCAUUCAAAGCAGACCAAGAACUCAAAAAGUUGCAGCUGCCUGUGAGCCAAGGCAGCUGCCCACAGAGCGCCCAUCACUGGAAGGUGGGAUUUGGGUGGUGUUGGGACAGAAUUGCAUGAGCAAAUAAAGUCAGAAUUCUAGCGUGUGGCCA
rnacentral:lncRNA from 1 species